UGAAAAUACAAGCUGACCCACUUUGAAGGCCCACAAGGCGCAUCCUUCCGUUAACAAUAUGCGGAUUCAUUCUGCAAUAGAGACUGUGUUGCUCUACCAAGGAAGAAGAAAACUGCAAUUCAUUUUGUUUCUCACUCGCAAAAAACGACAAGCUCUCCAUUUAAACGAGUCACCAGAUAGUGGAUAAUUUGCUCUUGGAGCAGCACUCCCAGCGCUGGGCUUGAUUUUUGAACUCAAAGCCUAAAAGGUGGACAAAGGCUUCUGCACAGCUUUCAAGCCAUUCCCUCAAUCAGUUUUAGGACUCUUUUUAUUACUCUAUUUCAUAGAAUGGACGAAGUCUAAUUUGUCAAUCUCACGCCCGCUCAUUGGCCCAAGUAAAUACACAAAACAGAACUUUGCUGGAAUUCACAUUCAAUGGGCUAAUUGAAUAUUAUUUGACUAUAUAAGUAAAUUAUUCCCUUUUAUGCAUUCUCGUUUGUCUCUUUUGCAAUUAAACGCACAGGACUUAAAAAGAAAUGCGUCGGUAUGUACUUAUAAUUGAAUAUGUGUCAAUUUAAAUGUACCAUAAAAAGACGGAAAAUAAAUAUAACGGUUUAAUUGUGAGUUAAAUGUAUCCACAGCGCUCAGUUUGCGGUGGCGAUUUUCAGAGAAGAUGCCUCAUAA